UACGUAGGGGGCAAGCGUUGUCCGGAAUCAUUGGGCGUAAAGAGCGUGUAGGCGGCCAGAUAAGUCCGCUGUGAAAACUCGAGGCUUAACCUCGAGAUGUCAUCGGAAACCAUUUGGCUAGAGUCCGGAAGAGGAGACUGGAAUUCCUGGUGUAGCGGUGAAAUGCGCAGAUAUCAGGAGGAAUACCGGUGGCGAAGGCGGGUCUCUGGGCCGAUACUGACGCUGAGGAGCGAAAGCGUGGGGAGCGAACAGG
rnacentral:rRNA from 1 species